rnacentral:sRNA from 1 species
ACUGUGCCCUGCUGCUGGCCGGACCGGGUCGUUCUUCGGUCUAUGACUAUAAUGUGAAUCUGUUUCGCGGCACGCAUAAUCCAUACAACAGCGGUGCUGGCACUUGUAUCACCUAUGAUGCCAUCAAUGCGGCCUAUUCGGAUGCACGCAAGCGUAUACGUGUGGCCGAGCCCAAGUCCGACUGGAAGCCUGAGGAACUGGCCACCGUGGGCGAGCUACUGCUCGAUAUAUCCAUACA